rnacentral:rRNA from 1 species
GACGAACGCUGGCGGCGUGCUUAACACAUGCAAGUCGAACGGAAAGGCCCUGCUUUUGUGGGGUGCUCGAUUGCGGAAGGGGUGAGUAACACGUGAGUAACCUGCCCUUGACUUUGGGAUAUCUCUAGGAAACUGGGGCGAAUACCGGAUAGAAUCUCCUGCUGCGUGGUGGUGGUUGGUAAGUGUCGGCGGUUGGGGAUGGACUCGCGGGUUAUCAGCUUGUUUGUGGGGUAGUGGCUUACCAAGGCUUUGACGGGUAGGCGGCCUGAGAGGGUGACCGGCGACAUUGGGACUGAGAUACGGCCCAGACUCCUACGGGAGGCAGCGGUGGGGAAUAUUGCAGAAUAAGCGGACGUCAGAUGCAGCAACGCCGGGAGCGGAAUACCCGCCUUCGGGUUAUAAACCGCUUUCGAAUGUGCCGAAGCGUGAGUGACGGUAAUGAAUCAAAAAGCACCGGCUAACUACGUG